AACGAACGCUGGCGGCAUGCCUAACACAUGCAAGUCGAACGAGACCUUCGGGUCUAGUGGCGCACGGGUGCGUAACGCGUGGGAACCUGCCCUUAGGUUCGGAAUAACUCCCCGAAAGGGGUGCUAAUACCGGAUAAUGUCUUCGGACCAAAGAUUUAUCGCCUUUGGAUGGGCCCGCGUUGGAUUAGCUAGUUGGUAGGGUAAAAGCCUACCAACGCGACGAUCCAUAGCUGGUCUGAGAGGAUGAUCAGCCACACUGGGACUGAGACACGGCCCAGACUCCUACGGGAAGCAGCAGUGGGGAAUAUUGGACAAUGGGCGAAAGCCUGAUCCAGCAAUGCCGCGUGAGUGAUGAAGGCCUUAGGGUUGUAAAGCUCUUUUACCCGGGAUGAUAAUGACAGUACCGGGAGAAUAAGCUCCGGCUAACUCCGUG
rnacentral:rRNA from 1 species